rnacentral:rRNA from 1 species
CAAGUAGAGAGGAAGGUGGGGAUGCCGUCAAAUCAUCGCGGCCCUUAGGUCGUGGGCCACACACGUAAUACAAUGGCCGGUACAGAGGGCAGAUACACAGAGAUGUGAUGCAUAUCUCGAAAGCCGGUCUCAGUUGGGAUUGGAGUACGGCAACUCGACUCUAUGGAGCUGGAAUCGGUAGUAAUCGCGCAUCAGCCAGGGCGCGGUGAAUACGUUCCCGGACAUUGCACACACCGCCCGUCAAGCCAUGGAAGCUGGGGGUACCUGAAGUCGUUAACCGCGAGGAGACGCCUAGGGUAAAACUAGUGACUGGGGCUAAGUCGUAACAAGGUAACCA